AUUGAACGCUGGCGGCAGGCCUAACACAUGCAAGUCGAACGAGUGGCGGACGGGUGAGUAAUGUCUGGGAAACUGCCUGAUGGAGGGGGAUAACUACUGGAAACGGUAGCUAAUACCGCAUACCAUCGGAUGUGCCCAGAUGGGAUUAGCUAGUAGGUGGGGUAACGGCUCACCUAGGCGACGAUCCCUAGCUGGUCUGAGAGGAUGACCAACCAAAACGGAACGGAGACCAGGUCCAGAAUCCUAAGGGAGGGAAGCGUUGGGAAUAUUUCAACAUGGGUGCAAGCCUGGUGGCGCCAUGCCGGGUGGAAGAAGAAGGCCCUUGGGUUUUUAAGUAAUUUUAGGGGGGAGGCGUUACCCGCAGAAGAAGCACCGGCUAACUCCGUGCCAGCAGCCGCGGUAAUAC
rnacentral:rRNA from 1 species